rnacentral:rRNA from 1 species
AGCGAACGCUGGCGGCAUGCCUUACACAUGCAAGUCGAACGGUAACAGGUCUUCGGAUGCUGACGAGUGGCGAACGGGUGAGUAAUACAUCGGAACGUGCCCGAGAGUGGGGGAUAACGAGGCGAAAGCUUUGCUAAUACCGCAUACGAUCUCAGGAUGAAAGCAGGGGACCGCAAGGCCUUGCGCUCACGGAGCGGCCGAUGGCAGAUUAGGUAGUUGGUGGGAUAAAAGCUUACCAAGCCGACGAUCUUGAGCUGGUCUGAGAGGACGACCAGCCACACUGGGACUGAGACACGGCCCAGACUCCUACGGGAGGCAGCAGUGGGGAAUUUUGGACAAUGGGCGCAAGCCUGAUCCAGCCAUGCCGCGUGCAGGAUGAAGGCCUUCGGGUUGUAAACUGCUUUUGUACGGAACGAAAAGACUCUGGUUAAUACCUGGGGUCCAUGACGGUACCGUAAGAAUAAGCACCGGCUAACUACGUGCCAGCCGCCGCCGUAAAAC